rnacentral:tRNA from 1 species
AAGAAAGCCAUACAGGUUAUGGGACUGGCUUGAAAUCAGUUUCUGGAGGUUCAAUUCCUUUUUUGUUUA